rnacentral:rRNA from 1 species
AUGAACGCUGGCGGCGUGCCUAAUACCUGCAAGUCGAGCGAACAGACGAGGAGCUUGCUCCUCUGACGUUAGCGGCGGACGGGUGAGUAACACGUGGAUAACCUACCUAUAAGACUGGGAUAACUUCGGGAAACCGGAGCUAAUACCGGAUAAUAUAUUGAACCGCAUGGUUCAAUAGUGAAAGACGGUUUUGCUGUCACUUAUAGAUGGAUCCGCGCCGCAUUAGCUAGUUGGUAAGGUAACGGCUUACCAAGGCAACGAUGCGUAGCCGACCUGAGAGGGUGAUCGGCCACACUGGAACUGAGACACGGUCCAGACUCCUACGGGAGGCAGCAGUAGGGAAUCUUCCGCAAUGGGCGAAAGCCUGACGGAGCAACGCCGCGUGAGUGAUGAAGGUCUUCGGAUCGUAAUACUCUGUUAUUAGGGAAGAACAAAUGUGUAAGUAACUAUGCACGUCUUGACGGUACCUAAUCAGAAAGCCACGGCUAACUACGUG